UGCCAGCGCACUUCGCCAGACACCUGCUGCUGCGCAGCCCACGACUACUCAACCUGAUAAGGCCACUGUCUCUCAAAUGCGCGCACCAGUCGUUACGGAGCUGAGUACCACAACCAGAACCACCACCACCUCCGCCGCUGCCGCCACCUCUGCCAGCGCACUUCGCCAGACACCUGCUGCUGCGCAGCCCACGACUACUCAACCUGAUAAGGCCACUGUCUCUCAAAUGCGCGCACCAGUCGUUACGGAGCUGAGUACCACAACCAGAACCACCACCACCUCCGCCGCUGCCGCCACCUCUGCCAGCGCACUUCGCCAGACACCUGCUGCUGCGCAGCCCACGACUACUCAACCUGAUAAGG